UACGUAGGGUGCAAGCGUUGUCCGGAAUUAUUGGGCGUAAAGAGCUUGUAGGCGGUUUGUCGCGUCUGCCGUGAAAUUUCGAGGCUCAACCUCGAACUUGCGGUGGGUACGGGCAGACUAGAGUGUGGUAGGGGAGACUGGAAUUCCUGGUGUAGCGGUGAAAUGCGCAGAUAUCAGGAGGAACACCAAUGGCGAAGGCAGCUCGCUGGGACGGUACUGACGCUGAGGCGCGAAAGCGUGGGGAGCAAACAGG
rnacentral:rRNA from 1 species